UACGUAGGGUGCGAGCGUUGUCCGGAAUUAUUGGGCGUAAAGAGCUCGUAGGCGGCUUGUCGCGUCGGAUGUGAAAGCCCGGGGCUUAACUCCGGGUCUGCAUUCGAUACGGGCAGGCUAGAGUUCGGUAGGGGAGAUCGGAAUUCCUGGUGUAGCGGUGGAAAUGACGCAGAUAUCAGGAGGAACACCGGUGGCGAAGGCGGAUCUCUGGGCCGAUACUGACGCUGAGGAGCGAAAAGCGUGGGGAGCAAACAGG
rnacentral:rRNA from 1 species